UACUAGCGGUCCAAGUCGCAGCCAUCUUUAUUGGGUCUAAAACAUCCGUAGCUUGCUUAAUGAGUUCCUUGUGAAAUCCUAUGUCUCAAGCAUGGGGCGUGCAAGGAGUACUGUUGAGCUAGAGACCGGAAGGCGUAGGAAGUACGACUAAAGUAGUGGUAAAAUACUCUAAUCUUGGUCGGACUCACAAUAGCGAAGGCAUCCUACGAGGACGGUUCUGACAGUAAGGGAUGAAAGCUAGGGGCGCAAAUGGGAUUAGAUACCCGCGUA
rnacentral:rRNA from 1 species